AGAAGAAUAUCGAACGGACGGAAUUCGCGUUGAUUAGCAAAAAAAAAAGAAAUUGCUUAAUUGCCCGGUAAUUAUCGUGCGAGGUUUGCAUUCGCGCACAGUUAUACCCAUACCUACGAUCAGCUACUUGAUUCGUGAUCGGCCAUUUAACUCGACAGUGGAAGCCUGCGGAAGCGAGGGGAAAGCGAAAGAAUACGAGGAAUGAUAUGCGGCUGCGCGUGGAAACUGACGUCAACUGUAACCAAUCGGAGCCAAUUAAAAGAUGCCGGUGCGCUGCUAUCUCUCUUACGACGACUCGCGAUACUUAUCGUAUAGGUUCUUCCAUAUGGCCUUCUCAUCAUCUGUUAACUGAAUGACAAGAGGAACGUCAAAGACUUCUUGCAACCAUUUGCAAAACAUGAAUGGAACCAGAUGCCCUAAAUGCAUACAGUCAGAGCUGGGUCCUCUACCUGUGUACAGGUAAAACGGUUUGCCUUGUUCGUACAAAUUCAAAAUCGUAUGCAUGUCCCUGUGAGAGAAGACAAUUCCUCUUCGAAGGAAGUGGUGAGCCUUUUUCCCAGUAAUCUUUUCAAACCUGCUGAUCAAUUCUUCAUCUAUUUUUGAACUUCCGAAACGCUCUGCAAAAAAAAACCAUUAAUUUAAUAAAAUGACCGAAAAUCGAAAACGUA
rnacentral:lncRNA from 12 species